UCAGGAUGAACGCUGGCGGCGUGCCUAACACAUGCAAGUCGAACGGAGAUUUAACGCUGAUGAAGCUUCGGCAGAAUCUUGUUAAAUCUUAGUGGCGGACGGGUGAGUAACGCGUGGGCAACCUGCCUCGUACUGGGGGAUAACAGUUGGAAACGACUGUUAAUACCGCAUAAGCGCACGGUAUCGCAUGAUACAGUGUGAAAAACUCCGGUGGUACGAGAUGGGCCCGCGUCAGAUUAGCCAGUUGGCGGGUAACGGCCCACCAAAGCGACGAUCUGUAGCCGGACUGAGAGGUCGGACGGCCACAUUGGGACUGAGACACGGCCCAAACUCCUACGGGAGGCAGCAGUGGGGGAUAUUGCACAAUGGGCGAAAGCCUGAUGCAGCGACGCCGCCGUGAGUGAAGAAGUAUUUCGGUAUGUAAAGCUCUAUCAGCAGGGAAGAAAGACCCGCAAGGGGGAUGACGGUACCUGACUAAGAAGCCCCGGCUAACUACGUGCCAGCAGCUGC
rnacentral:rRNA from 1 species